CAGUCGCCGCGGUAAUACGAAGGGGGCUAGCGUUGUUCGGAAUUACUGGGCGUAAAGCGCACGUAGGCGGAUAUUUAAGUCAGGGGUGAAAUCCCAGAGCUCAACUCUGGAACUGCCUUUGAUACUGGGUAUCUUGAGUAUGGAAGAGGUGAGUGGAAUUCCGAGUGUAGAGGUGAAAUUCGUAGAUAUUCGGAGGAACACCAGUGGCGAAGGCGGCUCACUGGUCCAUUACUGACGCUGAGGUGCGAAAGCGUGGGGAGCAAACAGGAUUAGAUACCCCAGUAGUCCCUGUCUCUUAUAU
rnacentral:rRNA from 1 species